UACGAAGGGAGCUAGCGUUGUUCGGAAUCACUGGGCGUAAAGCGCGCGUAGGCGGAUGUUUCAGUCAGGGGUUAAAUCCCGGGGCUCAGCCUCGGAAGUGCCUCUGAUACAGCACGUCUCGAGGGCGGAAGAGGUGGGUGGAAUUCCUAGUGUAGAGGUGAAAUUCGUAGAUAUUAGGAAGAACACCGGUCGCGAAGGCGGCCCACUGGUCCGGUACUGACGCUGAGGUGCGAAAGCGUGGGGAGCAAACAGG
rnacentral:rRNA from 1 species